GUUCGGCUGCUUGUGGGGUGGUGUUCUUUCCCCAGCUCUGGGUUCUUUUCCCAGAGUAAAGACAUCAAACUCGUUGCCAAAUUGUUUUGGUUGUGUCCUUUGACCGUUUUAGCAACAAAAUGGGACCCAAAAACAGCAGUUGAAGACUCUGGGGCGGCUGAAGUUACCCACGGAGCUCUUUUGGCUCACUGCCUUUCCUGCCGCUCUCCGGAAUCUGCUUUUCUUGAGCUUAGCUUGUUUUGCGUUCUGAGCUCUGAGUUUGUCCUGAUCCUUUUGGAGACAGAAUCGGUGUGUGAAAGACUCCAGAUUUUUCACAGUGAGACCUAGUGGGCCAAGACAUCUGGUUUGCGGUGGACCUCCUCUACAAGUUAUUACCCUGUAAGCCUUCCACUCCGUCCAACUGAGUCAGCAACUGGUUAACCACACGAUCUGUAACGCCUGUAUUAUCAUGGCCUCGCCGAGGAGCGAUGGAUUCAAAUUCAUCAAAGAAAAGAAUGCAGGGCUUGGCCGCCUGCGCUCU